CCUACGGGUGGCAGCAGUGGGGAAUAUUGCACAAUGGGCGCAAGCCUGAUGCAGCCAUGCCGCGUGUGUGAAGAAGGCCUUCGGGUUGUAAAGCACUUUCAGCGGGGAGGAAGGCGUUAAGGUUAAUAACCUUGUCGAUUGACGUUACCCGCAGAAGAAGCACCGGCUAACUCCGUGCCAGCAGCCGCGGUAAUACGGAGGGUGCAAGCGUUAACCGGAAUUACUGGGCGUAAAGCGCACGCAGGCGGUCUGUCAAGUCGGAUGUGAAAUCCCCGGGCUCAACCUGGGAACUGCAUUCGAAACUGGCAGGCUAGAGUCUUGUAGAGGGGGGUAGAAUUCCAGGUGUAGCGGUGAAAUGCGUAGAGAUCUGGAGGAAUACCGGUGGCGAAGGCGGCCCCCUGGACAAAGACUGACGCUCAGGUGCGAAAGCGUGGGGAGCAAACAGGAUAGAUACCCGUGUAGUC
rnacentral:rRNA from 1 species